CGGGUGCGGAACACGUACACAACCUUCCUUUAAGUAGAGAAUAGCCCGGGGAAACCCGGAUUAAUACUCCAUAAAAUAGUGAAAUGGCAUCAUUUUAUUAUUAAAGCUCCGGCGCUUAAUGAUGGGUGUGCGGCUGAUUAGGCAGUUGGCGGGGUAACGGCCCACCAAACCUACGAUCAGUAACUGGUGUGAGAGCACGACCAGUCACACGGGCACUGAGACACGGGCCCGACUCCUACGGGAGGCAGCAGUAAGGAAUAUUGGUCAAUGGACGCAAGUCUGAACCAGCCAUGCCGCGUGGAGGAUGAAGGUCCUCUGGAUUGUAAACUUCUUUUAUUUGGGAAGAAAUCCAUCCUUUCUAGGAUGGUUGACGGUACCAGAUGAAUAAGCACCGGCUAACUCCGUGCCAGCAGCCGCGGUAAUACGGAGGGUGCAAGCGUUAUCCGGAUUCACUGGGUUUAAAGGGUGCGUAGGUGGGUCAGUAAGUCAGUGGUGAAAUCUCCGGGCUUAACUCGGAAACUGCCAUUGAUACUAUUAAUCUUGAAUACCGUGGAGGUCAGCGGAAUAUGUCAUGUAGCGGUGAAAUGCUUAGAUAUGACAUAGAAC
rnacentral:rRNA from 1 species